GGACUUGUGGGGUUAAAGGUAGAGUGCUUGUCUAGCAUAUAUGAGGCCCUGGGUUCGAUCCUCAGCACCA
rnacentral:tRNA from 1 species